rnacentral:rRNA from 1 species
UACGUAGGGUGCGAGCGUUAAUCGGAAUUACUGGGCGUAAAGCGUGCGCAGGCGGUUUUGAAAGUCAGAUGUGAAAUCCCCGGGCUCAACCUGGGAACUGCGUUUGAAACUCCAAAGCUAGAGUAUAGGAGAGGGGGGUAGAAUUCCACGUGUAGCAGUGAAAUGCGUAGAGAUGUGGAGGAAUACCAAUGGCGAAGGCAGCCCCCUGGCUUAAUACUGACGCUCAUGCACGAAAGCGUGGGGAG